rnacentral:lncRNA from 1 species
GUACUUGGCUCUCAGUCUCCAAUCACUAGUGGGAGCUGGAGAGGGCAAGUGAAAAAAAAAAAAAAAAAUCCAGAGGCAGCCGAGGAGCGAGAGGAAAAAAAAAAAAGUCCCGCGGCGGCGGCAGAGCGGCCGCGGCGGCCAGAAGUUGACGGUGCGGCGGGGCGCGGGGCGCGGAGUUGGCGUGGGGCCUGCGCGGGGCGCCCGGACAGUUGGGGGGCCGCGGGGACAGCGGCGCUCAGGACGCCGGUGCCGGGAGCUCAGCGGCGGGUAAGGCGCGGGGGGGGGGGGGGGGGGCUUGCGCGCGGGGCUCGUCCCUGCAAGCGAGCGGGAGGCAGCGGAGCCGGCGUGGGCAGGGGGGCGGCGCGGAGCCGGUGGCGGCGCUGCGGUAAGGAGCCAGCGCGCAGGGGGAGAGGAGGAGAACGUGCAGCGCGGCCGUGGGGCGGCGCGGCGGCGGGCAGCGGGUCACAAGGUGGCCGCCUGGGCUUUGUGCGCGGGCGGCGCUGCCGGGACCCCGAAACCUCGUGCCGGCGCUGGCGGGGAGUUGGGGGCAGAGGCAGCUGCGGACGGGACACGUGCUCCGUACCGGGGGAAGGAGGGACGCGCCGAGGCGGGGAGUCGGGACCUGCGCACCCAGGGAUGGGGCGGGAGGGCGAGCGGAGGGCAGCCCGGGAACGGGGGAAACGGGCGCGAGUCCGGCAGCCUGGGAGGCAGGACCCGCAGACACCCGGCUCGGCCGAGCCACCUGCCUCGGAAGCCUCCCGGGACUGCGCUCUGCGGCGGGAGAAAGUGCGCAGCGGGCUGGUCUGGAGUCGCGGACUCGGCUCUCGGUGUCUGCCGCUGUUGCCUCUUUCCCUCCGUCUCUUUCCCUCUCUUACUGUGUCUGUUGCGUUCUCAAAUGUUUCUCUCUCUCCCGUUCUCUAUCUCUGCCUCUCGCCCUCUCCCCACCUCCUCUCUCUGUCUCUCCCUGGGCCUGUUUGUGUGUGUCUCCCUCUCCCCACCCCCUUUUCAGUCUCUGUGUCCCUCCCUCUCUGUCUCCUUAUCUUCUUCCCUCUCUGUCUCCUUAUCUUCUUCCCUCUCUGUCUCCUACACUCUUUUCAGUCUCUCUCGUUUGCAGGCUUUCUGCUGCUCGUCUGUCUCUACUUCUGA